rnacentral:rRNA from 1 species
UACAGAGGUCUCAAGCGUUGUUCGGAUUCAUUGGGCGUAAAGGGUGCGUAGGCGGCGCGGUAAGUCGGGUGUGAAAUUUUCGAGGCUUAACUUCGAAACUGCAUUCGAUACUGCCGUGCUAGAGGACUGGAGAGGAGACUGGAAUUUACGGUGUAGCGGUGAAAUGCGUAGAUAUCGUAAGGAAGACCAGUGGCGAAGGCGGGUCUCUGGACAGUUCCUGACGCUGAGGCACGAAGGCCAGGGGGAGCAAAACGGGG